rnacentral:rRNA from 1 species
AUGCGAACACGCAUUCCCUGCAAAAAAGAGUCGGCCGUUCUGCUCCCGCCACACGCGCGCGCGCACACACACAUGCCGCUCCUCCACCCCUCGCUUCCGCCGCACCGCCUCCUCGUCGUCCGGCAGUGCAGGCUCAUCGCCCCGCCGGUGCAUCCUCUCUCCCGCCUCUCCGUUAGGGCGGCAUCGGUCGCGCAUGAGGUGUGCGCGCUGCCCUUCCCGCCGGACCGCGCUUCCCACCACCGCGAGCUCACCGCGGCCGUCGCCUCCGUCGAGCGCGCCUGCCGCCUCUGCGUGGAUGUGAGGGCAUCAAUGCUUGUAGGUGACGAGAAGAUUCUUGAAAAGAACGAUCAAACUCAUGUGACAAUUGCAGAUUUUGGAGUUCAGGCCCUUAUCAGCUUUGAGCUACACCAGUUGUUCCCAUCGAUACCUCUGGUCGCAGAAGAGGACUCGGCAUUUAUACGGUCCUCUAAUGCUGCUGAUAGUAAGAGUAAUACACUUGUUGAGUCCAUUUCAAGUUUUUUCACAAAACAUGUGAAUAACAACGGUCCUCCUUUAACUCAUGAUGAUGUGUUGAGAGCUAUUGACAGAGGAGGCAAGGAUGCUGUCUCCUUUGAUUCAAAUCCUGCUACUUAUUGGCUACUUGACCCGAUUGAUGGUACCAAGGGUUUCUUGAAAGGAGAGGAUUCUUUGUAUGUGGUGGGUUUGGCUCUUGUGGUGGAUGGAAAGUUAGCAGUAGGAGUGAUGGGAUGCCCAAAUUUGACCGAUACUACCGUAGGCGACACGGAAGAUGAAAGUAUUGCGGCUUGUCCUGGCCAUGGCAUCCUUAUGGUGUCUCAUGUAGGCUGUGGUACUUGGACUAGGCCCAUGUCUGCUGACCAAUUGACAACAGCACCGGAUAUUUGGAAGAGAUGCUCUGUUGAUCCCUGUUCAGUUGCACACAUGGCACGCUUCUGCAUUGUUGAUAGCCAUACUUGGGAUAUGAUGCCAUUAUCUGCCCACUUCAGCUCGACAAUGGAUGAAUCUGAGCCGAGAGAUGAGAACAAAAUUCUUCUCCAAAAUUCUUGUGGUGGAAGCUUGUCCAAGUAUCUCUUGGUAGCUUGUGGGAGAAUGUCAGUUUUUAUCCUCCUAGCACGGGCGGAAAAACUACUCAAGGCUUGGGAUCAUGCUGUUGGGGUAAUUUGUGUUGAGGAAGCUGGAGGUCAGACAUGUGAUUGGAGCGGGAAACCAUUGGAUUUUGGAGCUGACCUAACCGGGCGUAGAAUCAUCUAUCCUUCGGGUGGUGUUCUGGCGACAAACGGUGCUCUUCAUGACAAGCUUGUGGAAAUGGUCUCAGCAAAUUACAAAUAG